UGAAAACAACGCAUCCCUCUGGAAGCUACGCACUUGGUCGAAGAGGAUAACUAACCCCGAUGGAGGAGGACCGGUCUUCCGUCAAGGGUAUGAGUAGUUGCGCUCCCCUGCUAGAACCUCCAAACAAGCUCUCAAGCUCUCUUUUAAUAAAGAAAAAAAUCCUGAUAAGUUAGUUUUCAAGAAUCCUCUUCAUCCUUGAUAAUUUCU
rnacentral:snRNA from 1 species